ACAUGCAAGUCGAGCGAACGGACGAGAAGCUUGCUUCUCUGAUGUUAGCGGCGGACGGGUGAGUAACACGUGGAUAACCUACCUAUAAGACUGGGAUAACUUCGGGAAACCGGAGCUAAUACCGGAUAAUAUUUUGAACCGCAUGGUUCAAAAGUGAAAGACGGUCUUGCUGUCACUUAUAGAUGGAUCCGCGCUGCAUUAGCUAGUUGGUAAGGUAACGGCUUACCAAGGCAACGAUGCAUAGCCGACCUGAGAGGGUGAUCGGCCACACUGGAACUGAGACACGGUCCAGACUCCUACGGGAGGCAGCAGUAGGGAAUCUUCCGCAAUGGGCGAAAGCCUGACGGAGCAACGCCGCGUGAGUGAUGAAGGUCUUCGGAUCGUAAAACUCUGUUAUUAGGGAAGAACAUAUGUGUAAGUAACUGUGCACAUCUUGACGGUACCUAAUCAGAAAGCCACGGCUAACUACGUGCCAGCAGCCGCGGUAAUACGUAGGUGGCAAGCGUUAUCCGGAAUUAUUGGGCGUAAAGCGCGCGUAGGCGGUUUUUUAAGUCUGAUGUGAAAGCCCACGGCUCAACCGUGGAGGGUCAUUGGAAACUGGAAAACUUGAGUGCAGAAGAGGAAAGUGGAAUUCCAUGUGUAGCGGUGAAAUGCGCAGAGAUAUGGAGGAACACCAGUGGCGAAGGCGACUUUCUGGUCUGUAACUGACGCUGAUGUGCGAAAGCGUGGGGAUCAAACAGGAUUAGAUACCCUGGUAGUCCACGCCGUAAACGAUGAGUGCUAAGUGUUAGGGGGUUUCCGCCCCUUAGUGCUGCAGCUAACGCAUUAAGCACUCCGCCUGGGGAGUACGACCGCAAGGUUGAAACUCAAAGGAAUUGACGGGGACCCGCACAAGCGGUGGAGCAUGUGGUUUAAU
rnacentral:rRNA from 1 species